GACGAACGCUGGCGGCGUGCUUAACACAUGCAAGUCGAACGAAGUGGCGAACGGGUGAGUAAGGCGUAAGCAACCGGCCCUUAAGAGGGGGACAACAGUGGGAAAAGACGGCUAAAACCGCAAAAGGAAGAAGGAGUAUGCGUCUGAUUGGCUAGUGGGAGGGUGAACGGCCCACCAAGGCGAUGGGCAGCCGCCGGUCUUGGAUGAUGAACUGCCAAAAGGGGACUUAGACACGGCCCAGACUCCGACGGGGGGCAGCAGUGGGGAAUCUUCCGCAAUUGACGAAAGUCUGACUGAGCAAAGCCGCGUGAUCGAUGAAGGCCUUCGGGUUGUAAAGCUCUGUUAAUCGGGACGCGGUACCGGAAUAGAAAGCAACGGCUAACUACGUGCCAGCAGCCGCGGUAAUAC
rnacentral:rRNA from 1 species